rnacentral:rRNA from 1 species
AAUCAACGCUGGCGGCGUGCCUAACACAUGCAAGUCGCACGAGAAAGGGACUUCGGUCCUGAGUAAAGUGGCGCACGGGUGAGUAACACGUGAAUCAUCUACCCUCGAGUGGGGGAAUAACCUAGAGAAAUCUGGGCUAAUACCGCAUAACACUUAUGAGUCGAAGCAGCAAUGCGCUUGGGGAGGAGUUCGCGGCCGAUUAGCUAGUUGGCGGGGUAAUGGCCCACCAAGGCGAUGAUCGGUAUCCGGCCUGAGAGGGCGCACGGACACACUGGAACUGAAACACGGUCCAGACUCCUACGGGAGGCAGCAGUGGGGAAUUUUGCGCAAUGGGGAAACCCUGACGCAGCGACGCCGCGUGGAGGAUGAAAUAUCUUGGUAUGUAAACUCCUUUCGAUGGGGAAGAUAAUG